rnacentral:rRNA from 1 species
AGUGAACGCUGGCGGUAGGCCUAACACAUGCAAGUCGAACGGCAGCACAGUAAGAGCUUGCUCUUACGGGUGGCGAGUGGCGGACGGGUGAGGAAUACAUCGGAAUCUACUUUUUCGUGGGGGAUAACGUAGGGAAACUUACGCUAAGACCGCAUACGACCUACGGGUGAAAGCAGGGGAUCUUCGGACCUUGCGCGAUUGAAUGAGCCGAUGUCGGAUUAGCUAGUUGGCGGGGGAAAGGCCCACCAAGGCGACGAUCCGUAGCCCGUCUGAGAGGAGGAUCACCCACACUGGAACUGGGACACGGUCCAGACUCCUACGGGAGGCAGCAGUGGGGAAUGUUGGACAAUGGGCGCAAGCCUGAUCCAGCCAUACCGCGUGGGUGAAGAAGGCCUUCGGGUUGUAAAGCCCUUUUGUUGGGAAAGAAAAGCAGCAGGUUAAUACCCCGCUGUUCUGACGGUACCCAAAGAAUAAGCACCGGCUAACUUCGUG